rnacentral:sRNA from 18 species
GAAAUUCCUCGUUAGGAAGAGGCGUUAGCACAAACAGAAGCUACUGCCCAGAAACGUCGAAAGACGCCAAUGCGGUAGACCAGAUUCAGUCGGAUUAAGGCUUUAUCUAAGGUAGCUGGUGGUGGUUCACCUACGUUGUGCUCUGCUAAAACUCAAACCAGGGGAAAAUG